AUUGAACGCUGGCGGCAGGCCUAACACAUGCAAGUCGAGCGGAUGAAGGGAGCUUGCUCCUGGAUUCAGCGGCGGACGGGUGAGUAAUGCCUAGGAAUCUGCCUGGUAGUGGGGGAUAACGUCCGUAAACGGGCGCUAAUACCGCAUACGUCCUGUGGUAGAAAGUGGGGGUUCUUCGGACCUCACGCUAUCAGAUGAGCCUAUGUCGGAUUAGCUAGUUGGUGGGGUAAAGGCCUACCAAGGCGACGAUCCGUAACUGGUCUGAGAGGAUGAUCAGUCACACUGGAACUGAGACACGGUCCAGACUCCUACGGGAGGCAGCAGUGGGGAAUAUUGGACAAUGGGCGAAAGCCUGAUCCAGCAAUGCCGCGUGUGUGAAGAAGGUCUUCGGAUUGUAAAGCACUUUAAGUUGGGAGGAAGGGAAGUAAGUUAAUACCUUGCUGUUUUGACGUUACCAAAAGAAUAAGCACCGGCUAACUUCGUG
rnacentral:rRNA from 1 species